AUUUGCAGGAAGAGGCAGACUAGGUUUAGAAUGACUCCAGGUGGUGGAGCGAAGAUCCAGGAGGUCCACCGUGUCCUCUCCAGAAGGAUGUAAACAGGAGCGAGGAGGCUGAGGAUGAUAAAUCCUCGAGCUGCUCCUGGAAUGCUGUGGGUGUGAACUCUCUAUGCCGGAGCGGGAGGAGGCCCCAAGAACUCAACAGGGAUCUGAGGAUCCUGAUUGGUCGGAGACAGAAGAACAGUUCGGAGGCCAAAGUUGAGCUUCUUGCAGAGAGGAGACGCCAUCUGCUGACUGUCUGUCUCUGACUUCACAUCCUGCCUCAUGAAGGACUUUCAGGAAGCUCCCUUUGGAUGAGGACAUCAUGCUACAGCUCAGCGUGUCAGCUUCUCCUCAUAUUGGUAUGAUCAGUAAAGAUGAUCGCCUAAAGUCGUUCCACAGCAUUUAAGGGGGCCAAUAUGAAGACACAGAUUUAUAUUUAAAGUCAAUAAUUCAUCUGAUGAUAUGAGUUAAAACAAAUAAAUCACAUUAAAGGGAGGAAUGCUUGGCAACUAAUUCAAAUCAAACCUCAAUUAAACUAUUAAAUCACUAGUAAACAACAGUGUGGUGAACAAACAUUGAUCCUCAAUUACAUUUUUAGUUCUACUAAAAUUUUGUGAAGUUUACAAAGCCUGUCCUUCAUAAAAAGUUCACUGACAAAGAACAGAGUUCUGGAUCUGUCCUGUUUUGACCAAAUUUAAUACAUCUAUGUAUUGAUUAGUGAUGGGUGUACCAAUACCAAUUAAAUAUAGAUUCCUCUACAUCAGCAGUUUUGGUAUUGACAACUCUAAGAUUGAUUAGUAGUUAAUAAAUACGAAAAUCAAAGUGCAUGUGUCAUUUCUGGAUGUUUUAGUUAUUAGGUGAAUUACUCCAGUGUUUUGACGUGAACACCACAAACCCUCAAAAUAUUGAAUGUUCCAUCAGCCAUGUGACCAGAGGAGCAGCGCAUUGUGUGCGUUACCAUUAACAACACAUCAAUAAAUAAUUGGUGAUUUUAGAAAGAAGGGUUUUGUAUUUUGAAUCCUGCACAUUGUUUCCUGGCCAGUUUGUUAUUAGGAUAAAAACAUAAUGUGUUUAAUACUAGAGCACCAUCGCUGGGUGAUUGUCACCCAAACAAAGUAUUUACAAAAUUUUCAAUAUGUGUCAUUUUCCUGAGUCUCAUGGGUUCGGGGAUAAAGUCUCACAUGUCCAGGGAAUGGGUGGACCAAAGACCAAGACUCUAGAAUAUUUUUUUUUUUUUUUUUUAAGGAAUUUUUUUGUUCUGAAAUUCCUAAUUUUUCUGUAAUUUU